UACUCUGGUUUCUCUUCAGAUCCUAUAAAUCUUUUGCCUUUUACUAAAGAUUUCCAUGGAGAGGACCAAAAAAAAAAAAAAAAAAAAA
rnacentral:snRNA from 1 species